GACGAACGCUGGCGGCGUGCUUAACACAUGCAAGUCGAACGGAAAGGCCCUGCUUGCAGGGUCCUCGAGUGGCGAACGGGUGAGUAACACGUGGGUGAUCUGCCCUGCACUUCGGGAUAAGCCUGGGAAACUGGGUCUAAUACCGGAUAGGAGCCAUUUUCAGUGUGAUGGUUGGAAAGUUUUUUCGGUGUAGGAUGAGCUCGCGGCCUAUCAGCUUGUUGGUGGGGUAAUGGCCUACCAAGGCGGCGACGGGUAGCCGGCCUGAGAGGGUGGACGGCCACAUUGGGACUGAGAUACGGCCCAGACUCCUACGGGAGGCAGCAGUGGGGAAUAUUGCACAAUGGGCGCAAGCCUGAUGCAGCGACGCCGCGUGGGGGAUGACGGCCUUCGGGUUGUAAACUCCUUUCGCUAGGGACGAAGCUUUUUGUGACGGUACCUAGAUAAGAAGCACCGGCUAACUACGUG
rnacentral:rRNA from 1 species